rnacentral:rRNA from 1 species
GCCUGCCCAGUGACUUUUUAAACGGCCGCGGUAUCCUAACCGUGCAAAGGUAGCAUAAUCACUUGUCCUUUAAAUAAGGACUAGCAUGAAUGGCUAAAUGAGGACUUAACUGUCUCUUACAGCCCGCCAAUGAAACUGAUUUCCCAGUACAAAAGCUGGAAUAAACACACAAGACGAGAAGACCCUGUGGAGCUUCAAAUCAAACCCACCAACCAUGGUUCUAGAUUUUCAGUUGGGGCGACUUUGGAGCAUAAAAAACCCUCCAAACAUGUAUUACUUAAUUUUAUCAAGACCUACAUACCAAAACACAACAAAAGACCCAGCAACAUCUUAAUGUUGUCUGAUAAAUGAACCAAGUUACCCCAGGGAUAACAGCGCCAUCCCCUUCUAGAGUCCCUAUCGACAAGGGGGUUUACGACCUCGAUGUUGGAUCAGGACACCCCAAUGGUGCAGCCGCCAUUAAAGGUUCGUUUGUUCAACGAUUAAAGUCCAACGUGAU